rnacentral:rRNA from 1 species
CCUACGGGAGGCAGCAGUGAGGAAUAUUGGUCAAUGGCCGGAAGGCUGAACCAGCCAUGCCGCGUGAAGGUCAGUGCCCUAUGGUCGUUAAACUUCUUUUGUGCGGGAGCAAUAAUGGUCACUUGUGGCCAGACGAGCGUACCGUACGAAUAAGCAUCGGCUAACUCCGUGCCAGCAGCCGCGGUAAUCCGGGGGAUGCAAGCGUUAUCCGGAUUUAUUGGGUUUAAAGGGUGCGUAGGCUGUGGGGUAAGUCAGCGGUGAAAUGCCCCCGCUCAACGGGGUGAAGUGCCAUUGAUACUGCCGUGCUGGAAUGCGGAUGCCGUGGGAGGAAUGUGUUGUGUAGCGGUGAAAUGCAUAGAUAUCACACAGAACACCGAUUGCGAAGGCAUCUCACGAAUCCGCGAUUGACGCUGAUGCACGAAAGCGUGGGUAUCAAACAGGAUUAGAUACCCCUGGUAGUC